GUGUUUUCUACAUAAAAGAAAACAACUGAAACUCAAAUCAAAGUUUGUCAUCAGUUUGUGAAGUAGAACAAACUAAAUAAAUUUUUAUUGGUCGAUAUCUGAUAUGCUGAUACACUAAAACUAAUUUGGCUGAUAACCAAUACCAAUACCAAUUUUUUUUUUCUGUACCUACUUACUGAAACUAUAUGGCUUUAUCUACUGGGGAGUCAAAAUAUUGCAUUUUCUUUGUCAAUAUAGCCUGCUACCAAAUGCACAUGCAAAAAAGGAGGCUAAGAAUAACGCAACAUUUCAACUUGCAUUGUUUAAUGKCAAAUUUAUUCAUGACGUUUGCUCUUUCUAAGACAGUGGCAAAACUCAAGCAGUGCAAAUGUGACGUCGUACUUUGCUGCAGGCAUCAUCGUCACUGGUUUGUUAUAUAAAAAAAAGCCUUUUAUACUGAGUUAUUUUGACGGAAUGGCCGAUGUCCGAUAUUAAAUUUUAGUAUUGGCAGAUACUGAUACCAUGCUGAUAAUAUCGUGUAUCCCUGUACAUUAUAGCGUCCUAUUUAUAAAGUUGGACUUUAGCUGUACUCUUACCAAUGUUAUCAAAAAUAGAGCAGAGUCUAAUAUUGAGCCUUGGGUGUCUCCCUUUAUAAUAUUCAAAGAGCUGGAUAUUAUAAACACAAUUUUAUUUGAAAGGCAGCAUCUAAUUCAGCCUGAAGCUGCAAAAAGGAUUAGUGAGUCAUUACAGCACUGAUGAAACUCAACAGGCAUUAAAACAACUUUGUUUUACACCWWUAGUGCUGACACAGAUCUUGCUUUGGUGACUUUUGGCGCAACAUGGAACAUCAUAUUUAUCUCAUUUACAAAAAGUCUUUCACACAGAAGCGUAAAGUACAUAAAAAGCAUAAGAAUUAUAAUUAAGGCAGUAUAUAUUCCAUUUCUAACUCACAAUUUUGACUAUUUACAGGAAAAUGGCUGUCAAAUGAAUGUGUGAUGUCCUGUGAGAGUGGAUUUUUGACCCCAGCUGCUCCAGGGAAGGAGACUAAAAUAAAACRYUGAUUUGCUCAUACAGCAGCCGUUCCCUGAAGGCAGCACAGUCAUCUCAGAUGUGCAUGCCCCUGAUGCUGCUGUGCUGGGAUUGGGGAAUCGAGGUCGACUGUUUAUCCUGUGUCUGUGUCCAGCAGUGAAUGGGUGAAGUCUGGACAGGUGGCCAGUCAGGGCAGCACAGAGACAACCAGAGGAUGCAUGCAUGUCUGCAGACACUCCACAGGUUAAUCAACCAAUUAAACUAACCAAUUAACUUAUUAUGCAUAUUUCUGGACUGUGAAAGAAUGAUGAAAAUUUACAUMAUCUAAGAAAAAGUAAACGACCAAUAUUUUUUGUUAGUUUGUUUGUGUUUUGCUACGACCAAAAAACAUAAUAAGAUUCUCCUCUCGUACUUCAAAACCAUUGAGUACAACAAGCAAUUAUUGUUUCUGCAUUUUGUGACAGGARCUGCCUAGGAAAUGCAUUAACAUCUCAGCAUCAGUGACAUGUUUAAGCAGCUGAGCUGAGCUGAAAUUUAAAAGCUAACAACUACUUAAAGGCCUGCCUCUGCUCUGCUGCAGCAGACUGGAUGCAGGUUAAGUGGCUUUGCGCUGACCACGUUUUCCGGUUUGUUGGUGUUGCUUUCUGAGAACGUAGAGGUUGAGAAGCCUGUUACUUUUGCCUUCGAGCAAAAAGAAAGAACUUCAAGAUGCGAACACAGCAGGGGAUUUGAAACCAAGCACAUUUAAACCACAUGGUAAAGAAAGUCAGUUAUUUUUGAGCGUCUCUAAAUGUGUCUUGUGGUA